GACAGAGGUGCCGAGCGUUAGGCGGAAUCACUGGGCUUAAAGCGCGUGUAGGCGGAUUCUUAAGUGUCUUGUGAAAUCCCACGGCUCAACCGUGGAACUGCUGGGCAUACUGGGAAUCUUGGGCCACUCAGGGGCGACCGGAACAAGCGGUGGAGCGGUGAAAUGCGUAGAUAUCGCUUGGAACGCCAAAGGGGAAGACAGGUCGCUGGGGGUGUGCCGACGCUGAGACGCGAAAGCCAGGGGAGCAAACGGG
rnacentral:rRNA from 1 species